UACGGAGGGUGCAAGCGUUAAUCGGAAUUACUGCGCGUAAAGCGCACGCAGGCGGUUUGUUAAGUCAGAUGUGAAAUCCCCGGGCUCAACCUGGGAACUGCAUCUGAUACUGGCAAGCUUGAGUCUCGUAGAGGGGGGUAGAAUUCCAGGUGUAGCGGUGAAAUGCGUAGAGAUCUGGAGGAAUACCGGUGGCGAAGGCGGACCCCGGGACGAAGACUGACGCUCAGGUGCGAAAGCGUGGGGAGCAAACAGG
rnacentral:rRNA from 1 species